UUGCUAUUGGAGUCCGAUUUAGCCAUGCUAGUUGCACGAGUUCAGACUCGUAGCAGAUAGCUCAGUAACACGUGGCCAAACUACCCUAUGGAUCCGAAUAACCUCGGGAAACUGAGGCUAAUUCGGAAUACGGCUCACCACCUGGAGUGGUGUGAGCCCGAAACGCUCCGGCGCCAUAGGAUGUGGCUGCGGCCGAUUAGGUAGACGGUGGGGUAACGGCCCACCGUGCCCAUAAUCGGUACGGGUUGUGAGAGCAAGAGCCCGGAGACGGUAUCUGAGACAAGAUACCGGGCCCUACGGGGCGCAGCAGGCGCGAAACCUUUACACUGCACGAAAGUGCGAUAAGGGGACUCCAAGUGCGAGGGCAUAUAGUCCUCGCUUUUUGCGACCGUAAGGUGGUCGCGGAAUAAGUGCUGGGCAAGACCGGUGCCAGCCGCCGCGGUAAUACCGGCAGCACGAGUGAUGACCGCUAUUAUUGGGCCUAAAGCGUCCGUAGCUGGCCGUGCAAGUCCAUCGGGAAAUCCGCGCGCUUAACGCGCGGGCGUCCGGUGGAAACUGCAUGGCUUGGGACCGGAAGACCAGAGGGGUACGUCCGGGGUAGGAGUGAAAUCCCGUAAUCCUGGACGGACCACCGGUGGCGAAAGCGCCUCUGGAAGACGGAUCCGACGGUGAGGGACGAAAGCUCGGGUCACGAACCGGAUUAGAUACCCGGGUAGUCCGAGCUGUAAACGAUGUCUGCUAGGUGUGGCACAGGCUACGAGCCUGUGCUGUGCCGCAGGGAAGCCGUGAAGCAGACCGCCUGGGAAGUACGUCCGCAAGGAUGAAACUUAAAGGAAUUGGCGGGGGAGCACUACA
rnacentral:rRNA from 1 species